rnacentral:rRNA from 1 species
UUGGAGGGCAAGUCUGGUGCCAGCAGCCGCGGUAAUUCCAGCUCCAAUAGCGUAUAUUAAAGUUGUUGCAGUUAAAAAGCUCGUAGUUGAAUUUCGGGAUCUAUCCAUUGGUCGGGCCUCACGGUCCGUACUGGUGUUAUGGAUUCCUACCUUCUGAAUAACCGGGAUGUCAUUAAUUUGGUGUGCCGGGGAAGCAGGACUGUUACCUUGAAAAAAUUAGAGUGCUUAAAGCAGGCUUUUGCCUGAAUACAUUAGCAUGGAAUAAUGAAAUGGGACGCAUGAUUCUAUUUUGUUGGUUUCUAGGAUCACCGUAAUGAUUAAUAGGGAUAGUUGGGGGCAUUAGUAUUCAAUUGUCAGAGGUGGAAUUCUUGGAUUUAUUGAAGACUAACUUCUGCGAAAGCAUUUGCCAAGGAUGUUUUCAUUAAUCAAGAACGAAAGUUAGGGGAUCGAAGACGAUCAGAUACCGUCGUAGUCUUAACCAUAAACUAUGCCGACUAGGGAUCGGACGAUGUUAAUUUUUUAAUGACUCGUUCGGCGCCUUACGGGAAAC